rnacentral:rRNA from 1 species
UUCUAAUAGUCAUCAUUAUUAGUAAAAUCUGCUCAAUGAAUAUUAAAUAGCCGCAACUUUAUUUGUGCUAAGGUAGCAUAAUCAUUUGUCUUUUAAUUAAAGACUAGAACGAAAGAUUUAACUUUUAAAUUUCUAUAUUAAUUAAAUAAAUCGAAAUUAUUUUAAAUAUAAAAAAAUAUUUAUUAAACAAAAAGACGAUAAGACCCUAUUGAACUUUACUUAAGUUUAACUGGGGCAGUUAAUUAAAUAUAAUUUUAAUUUUUAUUACUAAAAAAAUGAUCCAAUAAAUUUGAAUACAUGAUCAAGUUACCAUAGGGAUAACAGCGUAAUAAAUUUUUAAAGAUCUUAUUUAAAACUUUGUUUGCGACCUCGAUGUUGAAUAAUUACUCUACUAUAAAGCAAAAAUUUAAAAAGAAAGUCUGUUCGACUUUUAAAUAUUUACA